rfam:Camelus ferus unplaced genomic scaffold scaffold678, whole genome shotgun sequence.
GAGGGUAUAGCUCAGUGGGAGAACACAUGCUUAGCAUGCAUGAGGUCCUGGGUUCAAUCCCCAGUACUUCCA